rnacentral:lncRNA from 1 species
CGCGCGUGUGCGCGGGCACUGCUCCCCCCCGCCCCUCGCACCGCCCCUCCUUGCAUAUGCAAAUCCGCCGGAGCGAGGAUGCUGCCGCCCCUUCCUCCCCUGCGGGCUCGGGUUCCCGCACACUUGGGCUCCAGCCCGUGAGAUGCCCCAGUGCCGCUCGUCUCCCUGCAGCAGCAGCAGCCGCCGCCGGAGCCCGGGCACCUUCCCCGCCUUCCCCCGCUCGGCGCCAGCCUGAGCCGCGCCGGGGGGAGCUGUCCCCUGCCCCGGCCCGCCCCGAGGGGAGCUUGGCGCGGGGCUGCCAUGGGCGCGGGGCUGGACGGCGCGGCUGCCCGCUGCGGGCUGGGACUGGGAUACUUACUGCAAAUGCUCGUGCUACCUGCCCUCGCCAUCCUCAGCGCCAGCAGCACCGGCUCCGCCGCGCAAGAUGUUGAUGUGUAGCUGGAGUCUGCUUUUAACACUGUCAGGAAGACAGGCUUACCACGUAACAAACAGGACAGUGUCGGCUCUUACAAUGCAAACAAAAUGGACUAAAAGUUUCAAGAAUGUCGAGUGGCCAUGGAUCCUCAACUUGAAAAAGCCUUGACAGGGCUUGAUUUUUUUCAGGAAGUCAUCAGCACCACCCCAUGAAAACCAGGUUCCUUUUUCUCAGGUGGAACACCCAGUCAGACUCAUUGGCCACUUUUGAAAGUCUUGUCUUCAUUCUCAAAUCCCUUUUGUAUUAAAUGUAUUCAUUCCUUAUAUCCAUUGACUCCUUCUGCACACUGUAUUUGUGUACCACUUAAUGGCUUCCAAGCAGGCAAAAGCAUACCCAACCACAGGAAUUACUUCACGUCCAAUGUAAUGACUGUAUGUGAAGUGGAGAGGGAUCUCUACAGUUGGAUCCAUCCUGCUACUGUGGGCACCUGGAAUGAUAGAAGCUUGGAGCUGGCCAUCCCUUAGACAUGUUGGGGCUCUUCUGCUGCUGCUGAAUGCUAAUUUCUAUACUGUUUCUCUGCCAUGUUAUAGCAUAUUUAUUUGGGACCAAGAAAAGACUUUUCUCGACCAAACUGUAUCCUGCAAAUGACAGUAACACCCACUCCAGUGGGUGCCACUGAAGAAGUACUGCAUAUGAUUUCUCUAUAAAUGAAGACGAUUCCAAAUUAUGUUCAGCUGUUUCAGAAACUGGCAUGAAAAGCCGGUUAGCAAGUCCUAAGUCAUAUUGGUUUCUAGUGGGUGACCCUCAGAAAACCUAAAUCUCCUCCUACUGCUACUGCAUAGGGCAGAAACCUAUGGUUUUGUGAUUGAUGCUAAAACCCAAGCUUCAUAUUAGUAAUUUUUGACAUUUGCAUGUGUUACAGUGUACGUUAGAACAGUCCUGACUCUUUGGAUUUGUACGCUGCAUAUGCCUUCUCAGACAUGCACACUUAUAGUUUGUAGAUAUGGA